rnacentral:rRNA from 1 species
CCUACGGGAGGCAGCAGUGGGGAAUCUUCCACAAUGGUCGGAAGCCUGAUGGAGCAACGCCGCGUGGGUGAAGAAGGUCUUCGGAUCGUUAAACCCUUUUGUUCGGGAAGAAAAGACGUGAGAGUAACUGUUCACGUUUCGACGGUAUCUAACCAGACAGCCACGGCUAACUACGUGCCAGCAGCCGCGGUAAUACGUAGGUGGCACACGUUAUCAGGAUUUUAUGGGCGUAAAGGGAACGCAGGCGGUCCUUUAAGGCUGAUGGGAAAGCCCUCGGCCUAACCGGAGUAGUGCAUUGGAAACUGGGAGACUUGAGUGCAGAAGAGGAGAGCGGAACGCCAUGUGUAGCGGUGAAAUGCGUGGAUAUAUGGAAGAACUCCAGUUGCGAAAGCGGCUCUCUGGUCUGUAACUGACGCUGAGGUUCGAAAGCGUGGGUAGCAAACAGGAUUAGAUACCCUUGUAGUC